rnacentral:rRNA from 1 species
UACGGGAGGCAGCAGUGGGGAAUAUUGCACAAUGGGCGCAAGCCUGAUGCAGCCAUGCCGCGUGUAUGAAGAAGGCCUUCGGGUUGUAAAGUACUUUCAGUCGUGAGGAAGGUGUUAAGGUUAAUAACCUUAGCAAUUGACGUUAGCGACAGAAGAAGCACCGGCUAACUCCGUGCCAGCAGCCGCGGUAAUACGGAGGGUGCGAGCGUUAAUCGGAAUUACUGGGCUAAAGGGCACGCAGGCGGUUAAUUAAGUUGGAUGUGAAAUCCCCGGGCUUAACCUGGGAAUGGCAUUCAAGACUGGUUAGCUAGAGUCUUGUAGAGGGGGUUAGAAUUCCAUGUGUAGCGGUGAAACUGCGUAGAGAUGUGGAGGAAUACCGGUGGCGAAGGCGGCCCCUGGACAAAGGCUGACGCUCAUGUGCGAAAGCGUGGGGAGCAAAC